AGUCGUGACUGCGUGCCUUUUGAAGAAUGAGCCUGCGAGUUAGCGGUGUGUAGCGAGGUUAACCCGUGUGGGGAAGCCGUAGCGAAAGCGAGUCCGAAUAGGGCGAUUGAGUUGCACGCUCUAGACCCGAAGCGGAGUGAUCUAGCCAUGGGCAGGUUGAAGCGGAGGUAAGACUUCGUGGAGGACCGAACCCACCAGGGUUGAAAACCUGGGGGAUGACCUGUGGUUAGGGGUGAAAGGCCAAUCAAACUCCGUGAUAGCUGGUUCUCCCCGAAAUGCAUUUAGGUGCAGCGUCGUGUGUUUCUUGCCGGAGGUAGAGCACUGGAUAGGCGAUGGGCCCUACCGGGUUACUGACCUUAGCCAAACUCCGAAUGCCGGUAAGUGAGAGCACGGCAGUGAGACUGUGGGGGAUAAGCUCCAUGGUCGAGAGGGAAACAGCCCAGAGCAUCGACUAAGGCCCCUAAGCGUACGCUAAGUGGGAAAGGAUGUGGAGUCGCAGAGACAACCAGGAGGUUGGCUUAGAAGCAGCCACCCUUGAAAGAGUGCGUAAUAGCUCACUGGUCAAGUGAUUCCGCGCCGACAAUGUAGCGGGGCUCAAGCGUACCGCCGAAGUCGUGUCAUUCAUACACAUAGGGCCAACGCCCGUAUGGAUGGGUAGGGGAGCGUCGUGUGCCGGGUGAAGCAGCCGCGGAAGCGAGUUGUGGACGGUUCACGAGUGAGAAUGCAGGCAUGAGUAGCGAUACACACGUGAGAAACGUGUGCGCCGAUUGACUAAGGGUUCCUGGGUCAAGCUGAUCUGCCCAGGGUAAGUCGGGACCUAAGGCGAGGCCGACAGGCGUAGUCGAUGGACAACCGGUUGAUAUUCCGGUACCCGCUUUGAAACGCCCAGUACUGAAUCAGGCGAUGCUAAGUCCGUGAAGCCGGCCCGAUCUCUUCGGAGUUGAGGGUAGUGGUGGAGCCGAUGAACCAGACUUGUAGUAGGUAAGCGAUGGGGUGACGCAGGAAGGUAGUCCAGCCCGGGCGGUGGUUGUCCCGGGGUAAGGGUGUAGCCCGUGUGGUAGGUAAAUCCGUCACACAUUAAGGGUGAGACCUGAUGCCGAGCCGAUUGUGGUGAAGUGGAUGAUCCUAUGCUGUCGAGAAAAGCCUCUAGCGAGUUUCAUGGCGGCCCGUACCCUAAACCGACUCAGGUGGUCAGGUAGAGAAUACCGAGGCGUUCGGGUGAACUAUGGUUAAGGAACUCGGCAAAAUGCCCCCGUAACUUCGGGAGAAGGGGGGCCAUCACUGGUGAUAGCACUUGCUGCUUGAGCUGGGGGUGGCCGCAGAGACCAGCGAGAAGCGACUGUUUACUAAAAACACAGGUCCGUGCGAAGCCGUAAGGCGAUGUAUACGGACUGACGCCUGCCCGGUGCUGGAACGUUAAGGGGACCGGUUAGCUGCCUUUCGGGGUGGCGAAGCUGAGAACUUAAGCGCCAGUAAACGGCGGUGGUAACUAUAACCAUCCUAAGGUAGCGAAAUUCCUUGUCGGGUAAGUUCCGACCUGCACGAAUGGCGUAACGACUUCUCGACUGUCUCAACCAUAGGCCCGGUGAAAUUGCACUACGAGUAAAGAUGCUCGUUUCGCGCAGCAGGACGGAAAGACCCCGGGACCUUUACUAUAGUUUGAUAUUGGUGUUCGGUUCGGCUUGUGUAGGAUAGGUGGGAGACUUUGAAGCGGCCACGCCAGUGGUUGUGGAGUCGUCGUUGAAAUACCACUCUGGUCGUGCUGGAUGUCUAACCUGGGUCCGUGAUCCGGAUCAGGGACAGUGUCUGAUGGGUAGUUUAACUGGGGCGGUUGCCUCCUAAAGAGUAACGGAGGCGCCCAAAGGUUCCCUCAGCCUGGUUGGCAAUCAGGUGUUGAGUGUAAGUGCACAAGGGAGCUUGACUGUGAGACCGACGGGUCGAGCAGGGACGAAAGUCGGGACUAGUGAUCCGGCAGUGGCUUGUGGAAGCGCUGUCGCUCAACGGAUAAAAGGUACCCCGGGGAUAACAGGCUGAUCUUCCCCAAGAGUCCAUAUCGACGGGAUGGUUUGGCACCUCGAUGUCGGCUCGUCGCAUCCUGGGGCUGGAGUCGGUCCCAAGGGUUGGGCUGUUCGCCCAUUAAAGCGGUACGCGAGCUGGGUUUAGAACGUCGUGAGACAGUUCGGUCCCUAUCCGCUGCGCGCGCAGGAAUAUUGAGAAGGGCUGUCCCUAGUACGAGAGGACCGGGACGGACGAACCUCUGGUGUGCCAGUUGUCCUGCCAAGGGCAUGGCUGGUUGGCUACGUUCGGAAAGGAUAACCGCUGAAAGCAUCUAAGCGGGAAGCCUGCUUCGAGAUGAGUAUUCCCACCCUCUUGAAGGGUUAAGGCUCCCAGUAGACGACUGGGUUGAUAGGCCAGAUGUGGAAGCCCGGUAACGGGUGGAGCUGACUGGUACUAAUAGGCCGAGGGCUUGUCCU
rnacentral:rRNA from 1 species